AUGGAGACCUCAGCAAAGGACCGGCAAGAAAAGGGGCCAGAAUUGAGCACCAUAAUCCCAGAUUUCGGGGGAAUCACAUUUAUCAACCAUCCACAAGUGUCUGCCUGCUUGGGGAGGAGGAUGAAGAGGCACUGUUUGACAAGAGUUGAAGUGGCAGAGUGUAAAGAUAUUAAAUCAGAGAAUUUCCUAUGAAUGAGAGUAGCAGUCCAUCUUCAAAGUCCACUGAAAUCAAAUGGAAAUUUGGAAAGACUUUGACUGAAAUGUUCAAAUCAAACACAAAGUCAGCAGCAGGAAGAGGCAGCAUGAGGAACCGGAACCAGAUUUAAAUUCUUAACCUGAUUUACUGACCAGUCUGAUGCAAGGGCAAAUGAGUUAGGAGAGAUCAUCAAAGAUGAAUAUUUGGCCAGUUUUAUUAAUGAAACUGUUUAGUUUUUGAGAUGGAUGAUAAAUAAGAGAAAGGAGAAGAAAAUGACAAAAAGGACUGGAAGAUAUUGAUGAAAAGGGAUGAACAUGAAGGUGAAAAAGAUGAAGAUGAUGAUGUGGAGGAGUAAGGAUGAUGAAAGAGAUGACUGGCGGAACGGUUACUGAUGGAUUCCAAUCAUACUUUUUAAAAUUUCCUCCAAUCCCUAGGAACAAGUUGCACUUGUUUCUUAUUUCUUUCUUCUUUUUGUUCGUCGGGACCCUGUUUUUGAGGUCUCUCGUCUUUCCUUUUAACCAUGGUUCUCAACUUAUUUGAGGGUGGGGUAUAUCUUGAGCAGAAUACAGUGGGAAAUGAAUCUCUACCCCUUUCUGUUCCAAAGUCAUUUUUAUCCCUUCCUGUCUUAAUAAAAACUAUGGAAUUGACA
rnacentral:lncRNA from 1 species